rnacentral:rRNA from 1 species
UGGCUGUCGUCAGCUCGUGUCGUGAGAUGUUGGGUUAAGUCCGUAACGAGCGCAACCCUUGUCCUUAGUUACCAGCACGUUAUGGUGGGCACUCUAAGGAGACUGCCGGUGACAAACCGGAGGAAGGUGGGGAUGACGUCAAGUCAUCAUGGCCCUUACGGCCUGGGCUACACACGUGCUACAAUGGUCGGUACAAAGGGUUGCCAAGCCGCGAGGUGGAGCUAAUCCCAUAAAACCGAUCGUAGUCCGGAUCGCAGUCUGCAACUCGACUGCGUGAAGUCGGAAUCGCUAGUAAUCGUGAAUCAGAAUGUCACGGUGAAUACGUUCCCGGGCCUU